rnacentral:misc_RNA from 1 species
AAGACGUUCUAGAGAAGGCAAUUAGUUUGCUCUACACCGAUUCAAUGAACAUUACAAAUAAUAUAGAGCAGCAGCUAGAGAACGACUCUGUUGAUUUCACAGCAAUUAUGAGAUUGGUCAAGCAGCUAAGGGAAAAAUGUGGCAGACUAGGGGCCCAAAAAGUCAUGGAAAAGGCGAUCGCAUUGUUGGGCAACUGCAGCGAAUGUCAUGUGGAACGUAGCAAGGCCUCUCUCCAAAUGCUGAAGCUGGAGAUUGAGACCCUCAAGGCAAAGCUUGACCCUUAUUUUCAGCUGGUGAGGCAAGCUCGCCUUGCUAAUGAAGUAGGAGCAGGGCCUCCACAGUGAAGUUAUCACUGGAAGUAGAAGGGUGACAAGUUGGCGGGCAUACAACACUGGUUGAUAUGCAAAUCCUCCAUUUUUUUCUCUCUAAAUUAGCAGUUAAAUAAACUCCAAGCAGAAAUGUUUCCAUGUGUGCUCCUUAUCUUCCAAUUUUGCUUGGUUAUGGUUUCCUAUGAGAAACUUUAGGACUUGUCAUCUGUUCCUCUCUUUUCAAUAAUUAAUUAAGGGGUUGUUUUCUUUUGAGAGACUGCUUUUAAUUGCUUUUAAAAAUAUGUAAGCUUAUAAUUUCUAUCAUCAAAUUAG